GACGAACGCUGGCGGCGUGCUUAACACAUGCAAGUCGAACGGAAAGGCCCUGCUUUUGUGGGGUGCUCGAGUGGCGAACGGGUGAGUAACACGUGAGUAACCUGCCCUUGACUUUGGGAUAACUUCAGGAAACUGGGGAUAAUACCGGAUAGGAGCUCCUGCUGCAUGGUGGGGGUUGGAAAGUUUCGGCGGUUGGGGAUGGACUCGCGGCUUAUCAGCUUGUUGGUGGGGUAGUGGCUUACCAAGGCUUUGACGGGUAGCCGGCCUGAGAGGGUGACCGGCCACAUUGGGACUGAGAUACGGCACAGACUCCUACGGGAGACAGCAGUGGGGAAAAAUGCACAAUGGGAGGAAGCCUGAUGCAGCAACGCCGCCUGCGGGAUGACGGCCUUCGGGUUGUAAACCACUUUCGCCGGUGACGAAGCGUGCGUGACGGUACUGGGUAAAGAAGCCCCGGCUAACUACGUG
rnacentral:rRNA from 1 species